GGCCCAGACUCCUACGGGAGGCAGCAGUAGGGAAUCUUCCGCAAUGGACGAAAGUCUGACGGAGCAACGCCGCGUGAGUGAUGAAGGUUUUCGGAUCGUAAAGCUCUGUUGUUAGGGAAGAACAAGUGCGAGAGUAACUGCUCGCACCUUGACGGUACCUAACCAGAAAGCCACGGCUAACUACGUGCCAGCAGCCGCGGUAAUACGUAGGUGGCAAGCGUUGUCCGGAAUUAUUGGGCGUAAAGGGCUCGCAGGCGGUUUCUUAAGUCUGAUGUGAAAGCCCCCGGCUCAACCGGGGAGGGUCAUUGGAAACUGGGAAACUUGAGUGCAGAAGAGGAGAGUGGAAUUCCACGUGUAGCGGUGAAAUGCGUAGAGAUGUGGAGGAACACCAGUGGCGAAGGCGACUCUCUGGUCUGUAACUGACGCUGAGGAGCGAAAGCGUGGGGAGCGAACAGGAUUAGAUACCCUGGUAGUCCACGCCGUAAACGAUGAGUGCUAAGUGUUAGGGGGUUUCCGCCCCUUAGUGCUGCAGCUAACGCAUUAAGCACUCCGCCUGGGGAGUACGGUCGCAAGACUGAAACUCAAAGGAAUUGACGGGGGCCCGCACAAGCGGUGGAGCAUGUGGUUUAAUUCGAAGCAACGCGAAGAACCUUACCAGGUCUUGACAUCCUCUGACAACCCUAGAGAUAGGGCUUUCCCUUCGGGGACAGAGUGACAGGUGGUGCAUGGUUGUCGUCAGCUCGUGUCGUGAGAUGUUGGGUUAAGUCCCGCAACGAGCGCAACCCUUGAUCUUAGUUGCCAGCAUUCAGUUGGGCACUCUAAGGUGACUGCCGGUGACAAACCGGAGGAAGGUGGGGAU
rnacentral:rRNA from 1 species